ACUCUUGAAGUCUUAGUGGCGCAGCUAACGCACUAAGUUGACCGCCUGGGGAGUACGGCCGCAAGGUUAAAACUCAAAUGAAUUGACGGGGGCCCGCACAAGCGGUGGAGCAUGUGGUUUAAUUCGACGCAACGCGAAGAACCUUACCUGGCCUUGACAUGCAGAGAACUUUCCAGAGAUGGAUUGGUGCCUUCGGGAACUCUGACACAGGUGCUGCAUGGCCGUCGUCAGCUCGUGUCGUGAGAUGUUGGGUUAAGUCCCGUAACGAGCGCAACCCCUAUCCCUAGUUGCUAGCAGUUCGGCUGAGAACUCUAGGGAGACUGCCGGUGACAAACCGGAGGAAGGUGGGGAUGACGUCAGGUCAUCUGGNCCCUUACGGCCAGGGCUACACACGUGCUACAAUGGUGCGUACAGAGGGCUGCAAACCCGCGAGGGGGAGCUAAUCUCACAAAACGCAUCGUAGUCCGGAUCGGAGUCUGCAACUCGACUCCGUGAAGUCGGAAUCGCUAGUAAUCGCGAAUCAGAAUGUCGCGGUGAAUACGUUCCCGGGCCUUGUACACACCGCCCGUCACACCAUGGGAGUGGAUUGCACCAGAAGUGGUUAGUCUAACCUUCGGGAGGA
rnacentral:rRNA from 1 species